rnacentral:rRNA from 1 species
ACGCUCGACACCUACGGGAGGAGCAGUAGGGAAUCUUCCACAAUGGACGCAAGUCUGAUGGAGCAACGCCGCGUGAGUGAAGAAGGUCUUCGGAUCGUAAAACUCUGUUGUUAGAGAAGAACACGAGUGAGAGUAACUGUUCAUUCGAUGACGGUAUCUAACCAGCAAGUCACGGCUAACUACGCGCCAGCAGCCGCGGUAAUCUGAGCGGGCUGGCAAGGC